UCUUUUGUGGUCUGAUCCUGAUGAUCGUUGCGGGUGGGGUAUUUCACCCAGAGGUGCUGGAUAUACAUUUGGCCAAGAUAUAUCUGAACAGUUUAAUCACACCAACGGCUUAAAACUAAUUGCGAGAGCACACCAGCUGGUUAUGGAGGGAUUCAAUUGGGCCCAUGAUCAAAAAGUGGUUACCAUAUUUAGUGCCCCUAAUUAUUGCUACCGCUGUGGGAAUAUGGCGUCCAUCUUGGAAGUUGACGAUUGCAAUGGCCAUACAUUCAUUCAGUUUGAACCAGCUCCUAGGCGAGGAGAGCCAGAUGUAACGCGAAGAACACCAGAUUACUUCUUAUGAUCAAAGCUGCACAAACUUGGUGAUUUUAUCGCAUCAGUUCUUGAUAAACUGGUCUAUAUGCUAUGACCAUCUGUGAAAUCCUAUAGUUAUUACAGAUUGCGACAUUGCAAGUUGCACAAAGCAUGCAAAUCGUGCAGGUGAUUCAUUCUUCCUUACAUACAGUUCUCCUGAAACUUAACGAAAAUGCAGCAAAGAGACUGCGAAAACUGGUGAAGGAGUCACUAUGCAUGUAUCAUUUCCUACAAACAAUGAUUUAACCUUUUUCUCUUAUCCUCCUUAUAGUAAUUUUUUUGUUACCAUCAUUUCGUUCCCCGAUUAAUUUGUCACCCUAUAGAAGGACGAUAACUCUUGUGUGAAACUCUGUAGAGACAAGACAUUAUUUUUUACCUUGU
rnacentral:misc_RNA from 1 species